UGUUAUGAUGAAUCUUUAGACUAGAGUCUCUGAUUUCUCCAUGAAGCUCUUCACAGUGCACUGAACA
ensembl:snoRNA